GCAAAUCGUGGUGAUCCCCUUUAGAAGCAAUGAAAAAUCAUGGCUAGACUGCCUCAUCUGUGGUACAUGACGGCUGCCUAAUCUGCUUAGGCAGCUCAGCACGCACAGAGAAAAAGUCAUAAGAUCAGCAAGAAGAGAAACUGUAGAUUUGCCUCAACUCAACAUGUUAAGUAAUCGCCUGACAUCUACAUAAGACCACCUCUUGGCACCUGGCUACACAAGCUGAAAUGGUAAAACUCCUUGAGAAACCACACAAGGAUGGAAUACUUGCUUAGAGACAUGAGAGUAGCCUAGAAUCUAAGAAUCUGUACUUCCUUCUACAGUUGUCUUUGGAAAAAGAAUAGACAUUCAUGGCAGACCAAAGAUCACUCUCUGAAGGUGUUAUGUGAGAAAUCCACACAGGAGAAACCCAAGAAAACCACGCAGGUAAAUGCUAGCCUGGAAAGACAGAGGGAAAACAUGCCAAGUGGAGCCCACCACAAGGACAGCAGUCAGAGCCCAAGAGCCCAGCUUUAAAAGGGCUGCAUACCAAAAGGAACAAAAGCACAAAACAAACAAACAAACAAACAAACAAGCAAAUGAUGGUGGAAACUAUUUUCAAAACUUCCCUGUUCUGGUAAAGACGUUUUCAGAGCUCAAACUAGUCCUGCUGAAAAUAUUUUUUAAAAUAUGAAAGCAUAGCGGAAAAUUUGUAUGAAAAAGAAAAAAGAAAAAGAAGGAGGAGGAAGAAGAAGAAGAAAGAAGAAAAAGGAGAGGAAGAAGAAGAAGGAGGAGGAGGAGAAGAAGAGGAGGAGGAGGAGGAGGAAAUGGCAGAGACAAUGUAUGUCCCAGAAAGCCUAAAAUGUGUACUGUUUGUCCGUUUAUAGAAAAAGUGUGCCAGUCCCUACUCUGUUCCCAAUUUUAAAAACAAAUAAAUAAAAAGAAAAACAAGCAAGUCUCUCAGCCAAGAAAGAAUCGAUGGGAACUUUUUCAACUUUAUAAAGUGGAUCUACAAAAAACUACAACUAACACUAACGUCACACCUAAUGGUGAAAGUCUGAAUGUUUUCCCUCUAAGACUAGGAAAAGGUGGCAUGGAUGUCCACUCUCCCUACUCUAUUCAGCAUUGUAUCAAAAGUUCUUAUCAGUGAAAUAAGACAAGAAAACAAUAAAUGGCAUCCAUAUUGGAAAAGAAGUAACACUGUCUUUAUUUGCAGAUGACAUUAUAAUCUAAAUAGAAAAUCUUAUGGAAUCUGCUAAAAAGCUAAUAGAACCAAUAAGCGAGUUUAGCAUAGUUACAAGACACAACAUAUAAAAAUUAAUUAUAUUUCAAAAUACUAGCAAUGAACAAUUAAAUUUUCCUUUUAAAAUUUUCAACAACAUCAAGACAUGAACCACUGGGGGAUAAACCCCAUGAAACAUGGCAGAAAAAAAUUCAGGAA
rnacentral:lncRNA from 10 species